rnacentral:lncRNA from 10 species
UAAAAACUCAAUAACACUAUUUAUUGCAAUUUAAUAAUUUUAUAAAUUAUAUCCAGAAACAUAAUGGAAUUCAUUCAAGGUCAAGGAGCUAGUUAAAAACGUGAAAAUUGUCAGAAUUAAAAUGGAGGCAAUUGUGUUAAAAAUCCUGACAGAUGGAGCUCGGGAAAGCAAUGAAGAAAGGGUUCCCAUUCACGAAUGCCUGACAACAGGAAUUGUCAGAAAAGACUGCAAAACCACAACCUUGCACAAAGGCCAUUGCAACCUUGCACAAAAAAAAAUACUUCUGCAAGGAUAUCUGCCCAGCAACUGCCUAUCUGACUUCAAACUGGUGCCAUCCUUAUUAUUGAUCCUUGUAACCAGGAAUAAUUAUCUCGAAAUAAUUGUGUACUCCUCUUCAUUUUUCUUUAAAAACCAUUGCCUUUCUUUACCCUCCUGAAUAAGCACAUAGUUUACUACGGUAUGUGUAUUCCCAUUGCAGUACCCAUGCUAAAUAAAUAUCAUUUUCUUUCAGAGUGCUUAUUAUUUAGAUUAAUAAAAGCAACGAGGACCAGAACCAAAUAAGGUCUCCUUAAUUUUAGCCCAAUUAUUUUCAAAGUAACUCCUCAUUCCAAAUCCCCUUCUCAACCUACUUCCCUAUUCAAAUGCUUGACAGACAUUGAUGUGAGGGUGACAGCAAACAGGCAGGCAAGACAGAAAAGGCAGUAAGAGACAGAAGCAAUAGAUAGAGCUUAAAAUGGUAAAGCUCACGAUCGCUUACUCAGGAUUCAAUAUGAUUCACUGAUUUCUACAGAAGGGACAUGGGUGCGUCUGACGGAUUGAACGGGAACAUUGAUGCAAUGAGUAGCAAGUCUGAACAGGGCUGAACCAAAUCCAUCCAUCCAUGUCUGACCAGUUUCUCUUCUAGGUUAAGGGUUAGUUCCAGUCUUUGCCACAACUCCUCUUCCUCUUUUGUUCCAGAAAGUCAAAGCUCUGCAGUUAAGAAGAAAAAUACACCACUGAAACUUUCAGAUGCCUUGAGACAAGAUUCUUCUUCCAGAAUUCUAGUAUCAUUCCAAGGCUGGACUCUUCAGAAGUGAUUGCCUCACAUGGCUGAGGAGGCCUCAUGAUCACAGCAGAAGAUGAAGGAAGAGCAAAGGCAUGUCUUACAUGGCAACAGGCAAGAGGGCCUGUGCAGGGGAACUGCCCUCUUAUAA